rnacentral:rRNA from 1 species
AUAAUGGGUCAGCGACUUAUAUUCUGUAGCAAGGUUAACCGAAUAGGGGAGCCGAAGGGAAACCGAGUCUUAACUGGGCGUUAAGUUGCAGGGUAUAGACCCGAAACCCGGUGAUCUAGCCAUGGGCAGGUUGAAGGUUGGGUAACACUAACUGGAGGACCGAACCGACUAAUGUUGAAAAAUUAGCGGAUGACUUGUGGCUGGGGGUGAAAGGCCAAUCAAACCGGGAGAUAGCUGGUUCUCCCCGAAAGCUAUUUAGGUAGCGCCUCGUGAAUUCAUCUCCGGGGGUAGAGCACUGUUUCGGCAAGGGGGUCAUCCCGACUUACCAACCCGAUGCAAACUGCGAAUACCGGAGAAUGUUAUCACGGGAGACACACGGCGGGUGCUAACGUCCGUCGUGAAGAGGGAAACAACCCAGACCGCCAGCUAAGGUCCCAAAGUCAUGGUUAAGUGGGAAACGAUGUGGGAAGGCCCAGACAGCCAGGAUGUUGGCUUAGAAGCAGCCAUCAUUUAAAGAAAGCGUAAUAGCUCACUGGUCGAGUCGGCCUGCGCGGAAGAUGUAACGGGGCUAAACCAUGCACCGAAGCUGCGGCAGCGACGCUGAUGCGUUGUUGGGUAGGGGAGCGUUCUGUAAGCCUGUGAAGGUGUGCUGUGAGGCAUGCUGGAGGUAUCAGAAGUGCGAAUGCUGACAUAAGUAACGAUAAAGCGGGUGAAAAGCCCGCUCGCCGGAAGACCAAGGGUUCCUGUCCAACGUUAAUCGGGGCAGGGUGAGUCGACCCCUAAGGCGAGGCCGAAAGGCGUAGUCGAUGGGAAACAGGUUAAUAUUCCUGUACUUGGUGUUACUGCGAAGGGGGGACGGAGAAGGCUAUGUUGGCCGGGCGACGGUUGUCCCGGUUUAAGCGUGUAGGCUGGUUUUCCAGGCAAAUCCGGAAAACUAAGGCUGAGGCGUGAUGACGAG